UACAGAGGUCCCGAGCGUUGUUCGGAUUUACUGGGCGUAAAGCGCACGUAGGCGGAUCGUUAAGUCGGGGGUGAAAUCCUGGAGCUCAACUCCAGAACUGCCUUCGAUACUGGCGAUCUUGAGUCCGGAAGAGGUGAGUGGAACUCCUAGUGUAGAGGUGGAAUUCGUAGAUAUUAGGAAGAACACCAGUGGCGAAGGCGGCUCACUGGUCCGGUACUGACGCUGAGGUGCGAAAGCGUGGGGAGCAAACAGG
rnacentral:rRNA from 1 species